CUCUUAGCGUUGAUACUUAGCCUCAUACAUCUCUAUCUUUGAUUGUUGGUUGAUAUUCUGAGUGAUUUUUUAGGGUUUCUUUUUGAGUUAUAUACUUUUCUUCUUCUUCAUAUUUAGUCCCUGUAAUCUUUUGGUGAGAUGUUCUUGAAUGAAUUUAGUGUGCAAUCUAAGAGAUUGUGAGAAGUAUAUUCUGUUGUCAUAGUAGGAAGACGAGAGAAAUUUGAUUUCCUAAUACAUGUCACCUAUUCUUUUGUUGAUUUUAGUGGAUCUAGAGCAAUAUCUACUUAUAGAUGUUCGAUGUGGUUGUUAUGUCGAAGGCUGAACAUCCGUUAAGGGUAAAAAUAAUUCUUCCUAUUCUUGUUAUUUUAAGUUCUACGAUUUAUUUUCUCGUAAACAUUUUUUUAUUUAAACUGGGUUGUAAAAAUUGAUUUGGGACCAACAAAUGAUAUCAGUGCACUUUUCUCUAAAAUCAUGGGUUAUGGUUUUUUUUUUUUCCCUCUGAAAACCCAAGUUUUUAAAAAUCAAUUGCUUGAUGCAGAUCUGGAGAUUUUGAGAAGAUUUUGUGAAAAUAAAUUGGUUUUCUGAAAAAGGUAUUUGUUUGAUUAGCUUUCAAUUCAACUUUUGGUUGGAUCCUUUUAAGAUUUUUGUGUCUUUUGGGUUAGAUCUAUCUUGUUCAAUACUCUACUGUUCAUGAGGUUUAAUUUGUUUUUCCUCUUAUGUACCUUUGACUCUCCUUAGAUCUUGAAUCACUACUGAGCCG
rnacentral:lncRNA from 1 species